ACCCAGCUGACGAAUUCCAAAUAGAACGAAACACACAUGUCAAACUGGAU
rnacentral:hammerhead_ribozyme from 1 species